CCCCAGGCCCCAGUCCCAUCCCCAGGCCCCAGUCCCAUCCCCAGGCCCCAGUCCCAUCCCCAGGCCCCAGUCCCAGUCUCAUCCCCAGGGCCCAGUCCCAUCCCCAGGCCCCAGUCCCAUCCCCAGGCCCCAGUCCCAGUCCUAUCCCCAGGCCCAUCCCCAGUCCCAUCCCCAGUCCCAGUCCUAUCCCCAGGCCCAUCCCCAGUCCCAGUCCCAUCCCCAGGCCCCAGUCCCAUCCCCAGUCCCAUCCCCAGGCACCAGUCCCAUCCCCAGGCCCCAGUCCCAAUCUCAUCCCCAGGCCCCAGUCCCAGUCCCAUCCCCAGUCUCAUCCCCAGCCCCAGUCCAAUCCCCAGGCCCCAGUCCCAUCCCCAGGCCCCAGUCCCAUCCCCAGUCCCAGUCUUAUCCCCAGGCCCCAGUCCCAUCCCCAGGCCCCAGUCCCAUCCCCAGGCCCAUCCCCAGGCCCCAGUCCCAUCCCCAGGCCCCAGUCCCAUCCCCAGGCCCAUCCCCAGGCCCCAGUCCCAUCCCCAGGCCCCAGUCCCAUCCCCAGGCCCCAGUCCCAGUCUCAUCCCCAGGGCCCAGUCCCAUCCCCAGGCCCCAGUCCCAUCCCCAGGCCCCAGUCCCAGUCCUAUCCCCAGGCCCAUCCCCAGUCCCAGUCCCAUCCCCAGGCCCCAGUCCCAGUCCUAUCCCCAGGCCCAUCCCCAGUCCCAGUCCCAUCCCCAGGCCCCAGUCCCAUCCCCAGUCCCAUCCCCAGGCACCAGUCCCAUCCCCAGGCCCCAGUCCCAAUCUCAUCCCCAGGCCCCAGUCCCAGUCCCAUCCCCAGUCCCAUCCCCAGCCCCAGUCUCAUCCCCAGGCCCCAGUCCCAUCCCCAGGCCCCAGUCCCAUCCCCAGGCCCCAGUCCCAUCCCCCAGUCCCAGUCUCAUCCCCAGGGCCCAGUCCCAUCCCCAGGCCCCAGUCCCAUCCCCAGGCCCCAGUCCCAGUCCUAUCCCCAGGCCCAUCCCCAGUCCCAUCCCCAGGCCCAGUCCCAUCCCCAGUCCCAUCCCCAGGCACCAGUCCCAUCCCCAGGCCCCAGUCCCAAUCUCAUCCCCAGGCCCCAGUCCCAGUCCCAUCCCCAGUCUCAUCCCCAGCCCCAGUCCAAUCCCCAGGCCCCAGUCCCAUCCCCAGGCCCCAGUCCCAGUCUCAUCCCCAGGCCCCAGUCCCAUCCCCAGGCCUCAGUCUCAUCCGCAGGCCUCAGUACCAUCCCCAGGCCCCAGUCCCAGUCCCAUCCCCAGGCCUCAGUCCCAUACCCAGGCCCCAGUCCCAGUCACACCCCCAGUCCCAGUCCCAUCCCCAGGGCCAGUCCCAUCCCCAGUCCCAGUCCCAUCCCCAGGCCUCAGUCCCAUACCCAGGCCCCAGUCCCAGUCACACCCCCAGUCCCAGUCCCAUCCCCAGGGCCAGUCCCAUCCCCAGGCCCCAGUCCCAGUCACACCCCCAGUCCCAGUCUCAUCCCCAGGCCCCAGUCCCAUCCCCAGGCCCCAGUCCCAGUCACACCCCCAGUCCCAGUCUCAUCCCCAGGCCCCAGUCCCAUCCCCAGGCCCCUGUCCCAUCCCCAGGCACCAGUCAUACCCCCAGUCCCAGUCUUGUCCCAGUCCCAGCCCCAUUCCCAGUCUUGUCCCAGUCUUGUCCCAGUCCCAGUCUUGUCUCAGUCCCAGUCUUGUCCCAGUCCCAGUCCCAGUCUUGUCCCAGUCCCAGUCCCAGUCUUGUCCCAGUCCCAGUCUUGUCUCAGUCCCAGUCUUGUCUCAGUCCCAGUCUUGUCCCAGUCCCAUUCCCAGUCCCAGUCUUGUCCCAGUCCCAGUCCCAGUCUUGUCCCAGUCCCAGUCUUGUCCCAGUCCCAGUCUUGUCCCAGUCCCAGUCUUGUCCCAGUCUUGUCCCAGUCCCAGUCUUGUCCCCCACUUCAGGUCUGUAUGUGAAUCCACCACAAGCUGCCUGGUCAACAACUCAAUAAUUAAUGGCCAAUAA
ensembl:lncRNA